UCCACCUUAGCAAUCUCGGUGAAUGCAACUGGCUGUUAACCAGUAUAGAGGUCAGUUCGAUUCUGACAGGUGGAGC
rnacentral:tRNA from 1 species